rnacentral:rRNA from 1 species
GACGAACGCUGGCGGCGUGCUUAACACAUGCAAGUCGAACGGAAAGGCCCUGCUUUUGUGGGGUGCUCGAGUGGCGAACGGGUGAGUAACACGUGAGUAACCUGCCCUUGACUUUGGGAUAACUUCAGGAAACUGGGGCUAAUACCGGAUAGGAGCUCCUGCUGCAUGGUGGGGGUUGGAAAGUUUCGGCGGUUGGGGAUGGACUCGCGGCUUAUCAGCUUGUUGGUGGGGUAGUGGCUUACCAAGGCUUUGACGGGUAGCCGGCCUGAGAGGGUGACUGGCCACAUUGGGACUGAGAUACGGCCCAGACUCCUACGGGAGGCAGCAGUGGGGAAUAUUGCACAAUGGGCGGAAGCCUGAUGCAGCAACGCCGCGUGCGGGAUGACGGCCUUCGGGUUGUAAACCGCUUUCGCCUGUGACGAAGCGUGAGUGACGGUAAUGGGUAAAGAAGCACCGGCUAACUACGUGCCAGCAGCCGCGGUGAUACGUAGGGUGCGAGCGUUGUCCGGAUUUAUUGGGCGUAAAGGGCUCGUAGGUGGUUGAUCGCGUCGGAAGUGUAAUCUUGGGGCUUAACCCUGAGCGUGCUUUCGAUACGGGUUGACUUGAGGAAGGUAGGGGAGAAUGGAAUUCCUGGUGGAGCGGUGGAAUGCGCAGAUAUCAGGAGGAACACCAGUGGCGAAGGCGGUUCUCUGGGCCUUUCCUGACGCUGAGGAGCGAAAGCGUGGGGAGCGAACAGGCUUAGAUACCCUGGUAGUCCACGCUGUAAACGGUGGGUACUAGGUGUGGGGUCCAUUCCACGGGUUCCGUGCCGUAGCUAACGCUUUAAGUACCCCGCCUGGGGAGUACGGCCGCAAGGCUAAAACUCAAAGGAAUUGACGGGGCCCCGCACAAGCGGCGGAGCAUGCGGAUUAAUUCGAUGCAACGCGUAGAACCUUACCUGGGUUUGACAUGGAUCGGGAGCGCUCAGAGAUGGGUGUGCCUCUUUUGGGGUCGGUUCACAGGUGGUGCAUGGCUGUCGUCAGCUCGUGUCGUGAGAUGUUGGGUUAAGUCCCGCAACGAGCGCAACCCUUGUUCACUGUUGCCAGCACGUUAUGGUGGGGACUCAGUGGAGACCGCCGGGGUCAACUCGGAGGAAGGUGGGGAUGACGUCAAGUCAUCAUGCCCCUUAUGUCCAGGGCUUCACGCAUGCUACAAUGGCUGGUACAGAGAGUGGCGAGCCUGUGAGGGUGAGCGAAUCUCGGAAAGCCGGUCUCAGUUCGGAUUGGGGUCUGCAACUCGACCUCAUGAAGUCGGAGUCGCUAGUAAUCGCAGAUCAGCAACGCUGCGGUGAAUACGUUCCCGGG